CUUAUACUCCCUUAGUCCUGAAUUACUUGUCGCAUAAAUGAAUAGAAAUGUAUGUAUCUAGAACUAAAAAUACGUCUAGAUACAUCCAUUUCUGCGACAGUAAUUCCGGACGGAGGGAGUAUUUG
rfam:Triticum aestivum genome assembly, contig: Triticum_aestivum_CS42_TGACv1_scaffold_405093_5BL